rnacentral:lncRNA from 1 species
UCUCAAUUUAGUAAUAUAGAACUGAGUAUAUUUCAUGUUUUAAUUGAUAAAGUACUUAAAUAAUUAGUUUUCCUUAAGAUAAGUUUUUACUUUUAUUGAAAUAGUGUUUCUCAUUUCUAAACAAUAUAAAUUAGCAGUCUGGAGAUUAUUCUUAUAUAUAUCAUUAUCUAAAGGUACUGUUUUCAUCACAUUCGUUUUAGUUAUAUAAUGAUUAAGUAUGGAAUACUAUAUUUCUUGAUUACUUGUUCAUAUAUAUGCAUUAAUUUUAAUCAUAAUUUAAAAUCAGGAAAAUAAGAGGUUAGGAUACUAUGAAUUUGUGUAUUAUAUCUUACAAAAAUUGAAC